rnacentral:tRNA from 1 species
GCCUUUGUGGUGCAAUGGGCAGCACACUCGUAUUCGAGAGGUCAGUGGUUCGAAUCUCGGCGAGGGCA